ensembl:misc_RNA 7SK 7SK RNA
GGAUGUGAGGGCAAUAUAGCAGAGAUUUCUGUCACCCCAUUGAUCACUAGGAUUGAUUGGCUGAUCUGGCUGGCUAGGAAGCUGUCUGCUUCCUCUUCACUGCACCAUGUGCAUCCCUACAGAAACUGCACAUUAGGUCAAAGAGGAUAAUCUUCCCUGUCAGAAGAGGACAAUUCUUUGGUCAAUGGUAUUUGAACAGCUAUGCUCACCUGAUAGAAACUCCAAACAAGCUCUAAAAUUAAAAAUAAAAGCUCAGUGGUAGAACACCUUUGGGUUCAGUGGCCAGUAACUCAAA